UWGAGYUUGAUCMUGGCUCAGAUUGAACGCUGGCGGCAGGCCUAACACAUGCAAGUCGAGCGGUAACAGGAAGGAAGCUUGCUUUCUUUGCUGACGAGCGGCGGACGGGUGAGUAAUGCCUGGGAAAUUGCCCUGAUGUGGGGGAUAACCAUUGGAAACGAUGGCUAAUACCGCAUGAUGCCUACGGGCCAAAGAGGGGGACCUUCGGGCCUCUCGCGUCAGGAUAUGCCCAGGUGGGAUUAGCUAGUUGGUGAGGUAAUGGCUCACCAAGGCGACGAUCCCUAGCUGGUCUGAGAGGAUGAUCAGCCACACUGGAACUGAGACACGGUCCAGACUCCUACGGGAGGCAGCAGUGGGGAAUAUUGCACAAUGGGCGCAAGCCUGAUGCAGCCAUGCCGCGUGUAUGAAGAAGGCCUUCGGGUUGUAAAGUACUUUCAGUGGUGAGGAAGGGAGUGUGGUUAAUAGCCAUAUUC
rnacentral:rRNA from 1 species